rnacentral:rRNA from 1 species
UACGUAGGGGGCUAGCGUUGUCCGGAUUUAUUGGGCGUAAAGAGCGUGUAGGCGGCCAGGUAGGUCUGCUGUGAAAACUCGAGGCUCAACCUCGAGACGUCGGCGGAAACCAUUUGGCUAGAGUCCGGAAGAGGAGAGUGGAAUUCCUGGUGUAGCGGUGAAAUGCGCAGAUAUCAGGAGGAACACCGGUGGCGAAGGCGGUUCUCUGGGCCUUACCUGACGCUGAGGAGCGAAAGCCAGGGGAGCAAACGGG